GAGCGUCUGGUUGGUCCCCUCUGCUCAUGAGAUGCCCAGACACAUGCUGGGGGAGAACUCUGCUGGGCAUGGAUAUUUCAGAGUUUUUACUCUUUCAGCCUCAUCACUUGAGUUCUAAACAUAAGGCUGUGUGGAUGAAGAGAGUUUAAUUGUUAGUUUUCUGGGAUGAGGGACCCAUUUGGGGACCUGUACCAUUUUUCUGCAGGUUAUUAGUUACAUUAAAAUCCAAACUACACAGAAUGGUAAAAAGGAGUGACUUCUACUGGCACUAACUGUGAACUACCUUGGCUAGCUAUAAAUACUGACUUUUUAUGGUGAUGGUGCAUGGAGCUAUUACUAGUAGACUUUUUGACCUUGUGUGAUGUGGACAGGGAACUUUAAAUGCAUCUUUCAGAAGAAAGCUGUUCAGCCUCUUGAACUUGGAAUUUCUCUCCAUCUAUUUUUAUCAAAAUUAUAUUUUUGAGACAGAGAAAAGGAGAUUUUAAAAGGUUUUAGUCAGUUUUACUUGCCAUAAGGUGGCUGUCAAAUUAAGCAGAGGGCAGCUGGGCUGGGCUACAACAUCCACUCCAGAGAAAAGCAUCCCUCCCAUCACACGCUGCAUCUCAGGCCAGUGUUGACUCCUUCCUACAGAGAACGCUGGCCUGAAAAGAAGUGUGCUACUCACAGCACUAUUUUCCAUCCAUCUGGUUGCUGCAGGUGCAUAAGGCUGGUGAAAAUUUUGCAGUGUGCUCGAGUCCUGGUGCACCUGCUGCUAGACCUGUCUGAAAGCCCUGGCAUCGCCUGCCCAGGAGUGUGAAGAAUGACUGAAGCGUUAAAUAAGGACGUGGAAAGUAAACUUAAAGCAAUGGAGAAAUGUCUAAAGCAAAGAUGGAUAAAUGUGUCAGAUCAAGCUCUCACACUCAGAUUCAAAUGGUAUGGAUUGAACUAACGACCAGCCAUUCGUGUAGUGAACUUUGUCCUCUUCCUUUAAUAUUCUGGGAAUUGGAAUAUGACCUGGAGGAGCUGAAGCUCAGUCAUAAGAGAGUGAUGACUAAAUGACAACGAGCAGAUGAUGUGUCUCCUAAUGAUCCUAUGGGAAGUAAGCAAGUUGAACUAAACAGGAGACUUCUGUGGACACACGGAUGUCCCACCUGGGUAAAAUCCUCUUUGUGCACCUGGUGCCUACUCCACUUGCACUGCCUUCCCAGAGGAGCUCCUGGAGACCUAAAUCAGGCCUCUAAAGGUUAACCUGCGGGAAGGUGGAGGAUGCCGGGAGGGAACGAUCACCCAGCUGGUCUGAGGCUGGUGACGUGGGCUGGUAACCUGAGAGCCUGUUGCACAGCUUCUGUGCCUGGAGUUGCUGUGGGAUCAGAAGGAGCUGGCUGGCUCUGUCCUGGUUUAUGCAAAUGCCCAGUCCCCUCGGCCGCACUGCCCUCCUGAGCGGGAGCCUUUUGGCCGUGCCUGAAUUCAAUGUGCAGCGCCUGCUCCCACUAACUCACUGACUGCAUGGUGCUAUUCUGCACUGCUCUGCCUGGAUUAUUCGGGAAUAUCUGGGAACAUGUGUUCCUGAACUGUCUGUUAUCAGCAAGUCCAAAAGCUGGGAAGCCCUAGGAAGCUUUCACUGUACUCCAUUUAUUUUUCCAUUCCCUCCCACACACCCUACCACUACACCAGGCAACAACAGAGGAUGCAGUAAAAUGGUUCCUAAAAACAUGUCAUCACUGUCAGUAAGGCUUUUUAAAUUCCUGUUUUAAAAUAUCCCAAACUACAGUUUGGUUUCAAACAGUACCUUCACAGAGGUGCUUAUCCCACAGGAUGUCUUGGAGAACCCAUCUGAUUUCCAAUAAAUUCAUGGCUUUCAGAAGGAACAAUUUCCUUUGUUAUCCCA